rnacentral:rRNA from 1 species
GCUUAAAAGCUAGCCUACUUAAUAGUUCAAAAACCUUAAACAUAGAAAUAAAACUAAGAAACCCAGAAGAACAAAACAAACCAUUUUUCCCCCUAAGUAUGGGAGACAGAAAAGGAAAACCUUAGAGCAAUAGAAAAAGUACCGCAAGGGAAAGCUGAAAGAGAAAUGAAAUAAUUUAUUCAAGCCUAAAAAAGCAGAGAUUAACGCUCGUACCUUUUGCAUCAUGAUUUAGCAAGUAAUCUUAGGCAAAGAGAACUUUAGUCUAAGCCCCCGAAACUAGACGAGCUACUCAAGACAGCCUAUAACAGGGCCAACCCGUCUCUGUGGCAAAAGAGUGGGAAGAGCUUCGAGUAGAGGUGACAAACCUACCCGAGCCUAGUAAUAGCUGGUUGUCUAAGAAAAGGAUAGAAGUUCAGCCUUCACCCCCCCCCCCCCAAAAAAUAACAAACCCGAACAGUUGGCCCCAGGAAACUAGAAGAGUAAAUCAAAGGAGGUACAGCUCCUUUGAGUAAAGAUACAACUUUAAAAGAAGGUUAAAGAUCAUAAUUAACUAAGGAAAUUGUUCUAGUGGGCCUAAAAGCAGCCACCUAUGAAGAAAGCGUUAAAGCUCAUACAACCUAUAAAUCCGAUUAUACUGAUAAAACAUCUUAAACCCCUAUAACUAUUAGACCACCCCAUGCAUACAUGGGAAAGAUUAUGCUAAAAUGAGUAAUAAGGGACUAUAAGUCCCUCCCAGCACAGGUGUACAUCGGAACGGACAAACCACCGAAAAUUAACGACCCCAAACAAAGAGGGAAAUGAAUAAAAUAAAUGUAAACAAGAAAUACACUCAAUAUAUUUCGAUCGUUAAACCUACACAGGAGUGCCACCCGGGAAAGACUAAAAGGAUGAGAAGGAACUCGGCAAACAUAAGCCUCGCCUGUUUACCAAAAACAUCGCCUCUUGCGAACCAAGAAUAAGAGGUCCCGCCUGCCCUGUGACAAUUGUUUAACGGCCGCGGUAUUUUGACCGUGCAAAGGUAGCGCAAUCACUUGUCUUUUAAAUGAAGACCUGUAUGAACGGCAUUACGAGGGCUUAGCUGUCUCCUUAUCCCAGUCGAUGAAAUUGAUCUCCCCGUGCAGAAGCGGGGAUAACAACAUAAGACGAGAAGACCCUGUGGAGCUUAAGAUUAUAAGUAGACUAUGUUAAUAAAACAAAACAAAGUAAUACAAACCAAGUAGAUACUGCUUUGAAUAUCUUUGGUUGGGGCGACCACGGGGGAAAAGUAAGCCCCCAUGAGGACUAGGAAAACCUUCCUAAAACUAAGAGCCACAGCUCUAAGUAACAGAACUUCUGACCUAACAGAUCCGGCCUUUUUAAAGCCGAUCAACGGACCGAGUUACCCCAGGGAUAACAGCGCAAUCUUCUUUAAGAGCCCCUAUCGACAAGAAGGUUUACGACCUCGAUGUUGGAUCAGGACAUCCUAAUGGUGCAACCGCUAUUAAGGGUUCGUUUGUUCAACGAUUAACAGUCCUACGUGAUCUGAGUUCAGACCGGAGCAAUCCAGGUCAGUUUCUAUCUAUGAUGUAGCUUACCCUAGUACGAAAGGACCGGGAAAACGGAGCCCAUGCUAAAAGCACACUCCUCCCCUACCUAAUGAAAACAACUAAAUUAGACAAGGGGGUACAACCCUUUGCCUAAGACAAAGGCAU